rnacentral:lncRNA from 1 species
GGCAGAGGCUUCUCGGAACACGCGGAUCUAUGAGUGCAGUCCCCGGGGUAGCCACCAGGGAACGCCAUAGGCUUUCCCGCUGUGUUCCUCCUUGCCUUUUCCGUUUGGGCCAAGUAGUUUCUAUUGACCAUGACAUUACAGAUCAGAAGUGGGUGGGGUCAGAAAACACACCCUGGGAGAAGCUGGCAAAAUGCCCAGAACCGCCAUCACUAGGCCUGGGGUUUUCUUCUGUAGUGGAAUUCUCGUGCUUAUGUAGUACAGGGAGGAGCGCAGCGCAUUUCCGCCAAGACAGGUGAGACUGCAGUUCUGACCUGCGGGCCUCGAUGAAUUGCUUUAGGGCCCCUGGGCGCCGGCAGAGCCGAUCUCCUACACAAAGCAAGCGUGUUAUGUCUACGACCGAACGGGGACACUAAGAAAGAGCCCCAAAGGCCCUGCUUUCAUCCCAAAGAACAGCGCCUGUCUGCGUAGUUUCUACCUUGCUCUAUGAGUGCAUCAGUUUAAGAGAAGACAUGAGAUCAUGGGUUUAAGUGAGGCUUCAUCAUACUAAGACAACGUGAUCAGGUACAAGUCGGUGAUUAAAGUGCAGAACAACUUCCCCAAUACAGGAAUCCAGCUUCUGAAAAUAUCUGUGCUGGAAAACUUGCAAUGGAGGAAUGGAAGACUUGAGAAAGGGAGGGCUGGGAAACAAGAGCUGUGACUCACCCUGAAGACAUUCUUAUUCCCAACCUAUAUAACUCACAUACACUGGAGGAAAUAUCUUCAUGGAAUUAAAACCACAUGGAGUAACAUUUCACGUAAGCAGAAUUCAGGAAGGAUUUCAGUAAUUCCAUCCCAAACACACACAGGCAAAGGGAGUGAAGAUUUCUUCAGCAACAUGGUGGCAGAAAGAUCAUGAAAAGAUCUAGGCCAGUCCAAGCUCACUGCAGUUAAAUCUUCAGUCUCCAGCACUGCACUUGGGAAAGCGUCAAGGAGUUGAAUGUAUAUGUAAUUGGAGUGCCAGAAGAAGAGAACCGAGAGAGAGGGGCAGAACAGCUCAUGAGGGGAAAACCCACUACAUACAAUCAAGAAUACUGCAGACUCCUCAUCGGAAUCUAUGUUAUGAACACAUGUAAGGCACCUCACCUGGCAUCUGACAAACUCAACGAGACAAUGAAUGAACCAGAAUAAAUAAUCAUCUAUUUUUUUUUCUCCCUGAACAUUUCUACAGUUGAGACAGUCUUAGAAUUUCUCUCUUGCAUGCCAGGAUAUUAGACUGUUGAAAUUGAAUUCUUUUUUUUUUUUGAGACGGAGUCUCGCUCUGUCCCCCAGGCUAGAGUGCAG